UACAUGGGGUGCAAACGUUGCUCGGAAUUAUUGGGCGUAAAGCGCACGUAGGCGGUUCGUUAAGUCGGAUGUGAAAGCCCUCGGCUCAACUGAGGAAGUGCACCCGAAACUGGCGAGCUUGAGUACGAAAGAGGAUCGCGGAAUUCCCGGUGUAGAGGUGAAAUUCGUAGAUAUCGGGAGAAACACCGGUGGCGAAGGCGGCGAUCUGGGUCGAUACUGACGCUGAGGUGCGAAAGCGUGGGGAGCAAACAGG
rnacentral:rRNA from 1 species